AAUUUUUUUAGGUUGACCUCGGAUCAGGUAGGAAUACCCGCUGAACUU
rnacentral:rRNA from 1 species